GACGAACGCUGGCGGCGUGCUUAACACAUGCAAGUCGAACGGAAAGGCCCUGCUUUUGUGGGGUGCUCGAGUGGCGAAAGGGUGAGUAACACGUGAGUAACCUGCCCUUGACUUUGGGAUAACUUCAGGAAACUGGGGCUAAUACCGGAUAGGAGCUCCUGCUGCAUGGUGGGGGGUGGAAAGUUUCGGCGGUUGGGGAUGGACUCGCGGCUUAUCAGCUUGUUGGUGGGGUAGUGGCUUACCAAGGCUUUGACCGGUAGCCGGCCUGAGAGGGUGACCGGCCACAUUGGGACUGAGAUACGGCCCAGACUCCUACGGGAGGCAGCAGUGGGGAAUAUUGCACAAUGGGCGGAAGCCUGAUGCAGCAACGCCGCGUGCGGGAUGACGGCCUUCGGGUUGUAAACCGCUUUCGCCUGUGACGAAGCGUGAGUGACGGUAAUGGGUAAAGAAGCACCGGCUAACUACGUG
rnacentral:rRNA from 1 species